GGGGCUGCGGGAGAGAUGGGCAGGCUAGAGAUCGGAAGAGGCAAGUGGAAUUGCUGGUGUAGGGGUUAAAUCCGUUAAUAUCAGCAGGAACACCAAAUGUGAAGACAACUUGCUAGGACAGAUUCUGACGCUGAACUGCGAAAGCGUGGGGAGCGAAUGGGAUUAGAUACCCCAGUAGUCCACGCCCUAAACGAUGGAUGCUAAGCAUUGGAAGUAUCGACCCUUUCAGUGCUGUUCACCUAAGAUAACUCGUUAAGCAUCCCGCCUGGGGAGUACGGUCGCAAGACUAAAACUCAAAGGAAUAGACGGGGACCCGCACAAGCGGUGGAGCAUGUGGUUUAAUUCGACGAUAAGCGAGGAACCUCACCAAGGUUUGACAUACGGCUGCAGACUCCCGAGAAACGGGAGAGCCUUCGAGGGUGCCGUACAGAUGCUGCAUGGUUGUCGUCAGCUCGUGUCGUGAGAUGUACCGUUAAGUCGGGAAACGAGCGCAACCCCUAUUCUGUGUUUUAUAUGUCACAGAAAACUGCCCGUUUUAAAUGGGAGGAAGGCGGGGAUGACGUCAAAUCAGCAUGGUUCUUACACCUUGGGCGACACACGUGCUACAAUGGGAAAUACAACGGGACGCCAAAGCGCAAGCUGGAGCUAACCCCUUAAAACUUCCCUCAGUUCGGAUUGAGGUCUGCAACUCGACCUCAUGAAGCUGGAAUCGCUAGUAAACGCGUAUCAGCCACGGCGCGUUGAAUACGUUCUCGGGUCUUGUACUCACCGCCCGUCACGCCAAGAGAGUCGGUAACACCCAAAACCCCUGCCUAGCAGGGUCUAAGGUGGGACUGAUGAUAGGGGCGAAGUCGUAACAAGGUAACC
rnacentral:rRNA from 1 species